rnacentral:rRNA from 1 species
GAAAAGAACCCCGGCGAGGGGAGUGAAAAAGAACCUGAAACCGUGUACGUACAAGCAGUGGGAGCACCCUUUGGGGUGUGACUGCGUACCUUUUGUAUAAUGGGUCAGCGACUUAUAUUCUGUAGCAAGGUUAACCGUAUAGGGGAGCCGCAGGGAAACCGAGUCUUAACCGGGCGUUAAGUUGCAGGGUAUAGACCCGAAACCCGGUGAUCUAGCCAUGGGCAGGUUGAAGGUUGGGUAACACUAACUGGAGGACCGAACCGACUAAUGUUGAAAAAUUAGCGGAUGACCUGUGGCUGGGGGUGAAAGGCCAAUCAAACCGGGAGAUAGCUGGUUCUCCCCGAAAGCUAUUUAGGUAGCGCCUCGUGAAUUCAUCUCCGGGGGUAGAGCACUGUUUCGGCUAGGGGGCCAUCCCGGCUUACCAACCCGAUGCAAACUGCGAAUACCGGAGAAUGUUAUCACGGGAGACACACGGCGGGUGCUAACGUCCGUCGUGAAGAGGGAAACAACCCAGACCGCCAGCUAAGGUCCCAAAGUCAUGGUUAAGUGGGAAACGAUGUGGGAAGGCCCAGACAGCCAGGAUGUUGGCUUAGAAGCAGCCAUCAUUUAAAGAAAGCGUAAUAGCUCACUGGUCGAGUCGGCCUGCGCGGAAGAUGUAACGGGGCUAAACCAUGCACCGAAGCUGCGGCAGCGACGCUGAUGCGUUGUUGGGUAGGGGAGCGUUCUGUAAGCCUGUGAAGGUGGCCUGUGAGGGUUGCUGGAGGUAUCAGAAGUGCGAAUGCUGACAUAAGUAACGAUAAAGCGGGUGAAAAGCCCGCUCGCCGGAAGACCAAGGGUUCCUGUCCAACGUUAAUCGGGGCAGGGUGAGUCGACCCCUAAGGCGAGGCCGAAAGGCGUAGUCGAUGGGAAACGGGUUAAUAUUCCCGUACUUGGUGUUACUGCGAAGGGGGGACGGAGAAGGCUAUGUUGGCCGGGCGACGGUU